AUUAUAAGUUAGUAAUUAAUGACCCUUUUGUUAAGGCAACUUUCGAAUGGCUUGCUGACAAGGAUUUAAUAAUUAACCUUUUGGAUUUGUGUUUUUAAUUGGUAUGCGUUUAACAUUUUGUAAUGUGAUUUUCAUACUCAACAGCACGUAUUAAAAAACAUAAUUAUAAUAAAAAUAAACACCAUGAGACAACAGGCGUCUUUCGAUAGUAUUACGAAUUGUCAUUUCUUCAUCUGAAAGCCAUGCUGCUGAAGAAUACUAGAUAUGAUAAACGAAUAUUUUUCUUUACAGUAAAAUCCGUGCCGCUUUCCUUCUCGAAAUGGGUACACGUACGUCAAAACACUUCCGAUUUUGAUUACGCAUAACCGGCUGCCGCUUUUUCACGGCAAAAAUAUGCGGAGGAUUGUGGGGGGCGCGAUUGAAAACACUUCAACCAGCGAUCAACGAGCGAUCCGUGAGACGUUUUAGGGAUAUCUAAUUGACCAGUAGCUCUACGAAUUUACUGAUCCAGUGUUGUCAGUUUUUCUUUUUACUAGCUCAACUAUAUCUUGGAAUACGCGAAAAGACUGAAAAAGUGUAGCGUGCCUGUCGAAGAGCUCGGAGCCCUGUUAAGUCUGACUAGAAUGUGAGCGUGUCGCCCUCUGCCUCUCCGGAUGUCACAAAAAUUUUACAGAAUGAGAAAAAAAGGAGCAAGGACUAAAUCAGAUGAUCCCUCCUUUGCUUCAUUGCCCUUCAGUCCCAUUCAGCAUCAGCACCACCUUGUCUUCAACAACAGUGCAUUGCUCCUAACAUCAUUGGCCUUUUGUUUAUUGGACAUUUCAAGAUGAAAACCUCAUC